CCGGGUAGCCACGCGCUUAGCGGAUAAGACCUGAAAGCAUCUAAGGUCGAAGCCGCACCCGAAACGAGAGACUUAGGGUGGUUGUACUACACGACUUUGAUAGGGCAGGCGUGUAAGCAGGAAGCUUCGGCGACCUGCGAGCGCACUGCUACUAAAUCCUAACACAUCAAGCU
rnacentral:rRNA from 1 species